rnacentral:rRNA from 1 species
UGGGGAAUUUUGGACAAUGGGCGAAAGCCUGAUCCAGCAAUGCCGCGUGUGUGAAGAAGGCCUUCGGGUUGUAAAGCACUUUUGUCCGGAAAGAAAUCCUUGGCUCUAAUACAGUCGGGGGAUGACGGUACCGGAAGAAUAAGCACCGGCUAACUACGUGCCAGCAGCCGCGGUAAUACGUAGGGUGCAAGCGUUAAUCGGAAUUACUGGGCGUAAAGCGUGCGCAGGCGGUUUGCUAAGACCGAUGUGAAAUCCCCGGGCUCAACCUGGGAACUGCAUUGGUGACUGGCAGGCUAGAGUAUGGCAGAGGGGGGUAGAAUUCCACGUGUAGCAGUGAAAUGCGUAGAGAUGUGGAGGAAUACCGAUGGCGAAGGCAGCCCCCUGGGCCAAUACUGACGCUCAUGCACGAAAGCGUGGGGGCGAAACAGGAUUAGAUACCCUGGUAGUCCACGCCCUAAACGAUGUCAACUAGUUGUUGGGGAUUCAUUUCCUUAGUAACGUAGCUAACGCGUGAAGUUGACCGCCUGGGGAGUACGGUCGCAAGAUUAAAACUCAAAUGAAUUGACGGGGUCAUAGCUGUUUCCU